CCUACGGGAGGCAGCAGUGGGGAAUAUUGCACAAUGGGGGCAACCCUGAUGCAGCGACGCCGCGUGAGUGAGGAAGUAUUUCGGUAUGUAAAGCUCUAUCAGCAGGGAAGAAAAUGACGGUACCUGACUCAGAAGCCCCGGCUAACUACGUGCCAGCAGCCGCGGUAAUACGUAGGGGGCAAGCGUUAUCCGGAUUUACUGGGUGUAAAGGGAGCGUAGACGGCUAAUCAAGUCAGAAGUGAAAACCCAGGGCUCAACCUUGGGACUGCUUUUGAAACUGAGUAGCUAGAGUGCAGGAGAGGAAAGCGGAAUUCCUAGUGUAGCGGUGAAAUGCGGAGAUAGUAGGCGGAACACCAGUGGCGAAGGCGGCUGACUGGACUGUAACUGACGUUGAGGCUCGAAAGCGUGGGGAGCAAACAGGAUUAGAUACCCCUGUAGUC
rnacentral:rRNA from 1 species